rnacentral:lncRNA from 1 species
UGUUGGCUCCUAAGAUUUGGUCAUGGAUUUGAUUCAUGAGAUUUGGAUAUGGUUUGGUGUAUGGCUCAUAGGAUUUGGUGUAUGGUUUAUGAGAUUUGGUAUAUGGUCCAUGGGAUUUGGUCCAUGAGAUUUGGUUCAUGGGAUGUGGUUUCAUGAAAUUGGAUAUGGCUUAUGAGGUUUGGUUUAUGGUUCAUGAAUGAGGUUGGGUAUAUGAGAUUUGGUUCAUGAACUUGGAUAUGGUUUAUGGACUUGGUUCAUGGUUCAUGAACUUGGUUCAUGGUUCAUGAGGUUGGCUAUAUAGGAUUUGGUUCAUGAACUUGGAUAUGGUUCAUGGACUUGGUUUAUGGUUCAUGUACUUGGUUCAUGGUUCAUGAGGUUGGGUAUAUGGGAUUUGGUUCAUGAACUUGGAUAUGGUUCAUGGACUUGGUUUAUGGUUCAUGAACUUGGUUCAUGGUUCAUGAGGUUGGGUAUAUGGGAUUUGGUUCAUGAACUUGGAUAUGGUUCAUGGAUUAGGUAUACGAACUUGGUUAUGGUUCAUGAGAUUUGGUUCAUGUAUAUGGUUCAUAGUUUAUGGUUCAUAAAUUUGGUGUAUGGUUUAUGGUUCAUGGUGUGUGAACUUGGGUAUGGUUCGUGGUGUUUGGUUCACGAACUUGGUUCAUGGUUUAUGGGACUUGGGUAUGGUUCGUAGCGUUUAGUUCACGAACUUGGAUAAGCUUUAUGAACUUGGUUCAUGGUUUAUGGGAUUUGGUUCAUGAACUUGGGUAUGGUUCGUAGUGUUUGGUUCACGAACUUGGAUAAGCUUUAUAAACUUGGUUCAUGGUUUAUGGGAUUUGGUUAAUGAACUUGGGUAUGGUUCGUAGUGUUUGGUUCACGAACUUGAUUCAUGGUUUAUGGGACUUGGGUUUGGUUCGUGGUGUUUGGUUCACGAACUUGGUUCAUGGUUUAUGGGACUUGGGAAUGGUUCAUGAACUUGGUUUAUGAUUCAUGAACUUGGUUUAUGGUUUAUGGUCCAUAAGGUUUGGUAUAUGGUUCAUGAACUUGGUUUAUGGUUUAUGAAGUUGGGUAUAUUGGAUAUGGUUCAUGAACUU